rnacentral:rRNA from 1 species
AGUGAACGCUGGCGGUAGGCCUAACACAUGCAAGUCGGACGGCAGCACAGUAAGAGCUUGCUCUUACGGGUGGCGAGUGGCGGACGGGUGAGGAAUACAUCGGAAUCUACUUUUUCGUGGGGGAUAACGUAGGGAAACUUACGCUAAUACCGCAUACGACCUACGGGUGAAAGCGGGGGAUCUUCGGACCUUGCGCGAUUGAAUGAGCCGAUGUCGGAUUAGCUAGUUGGCGGGGUAAAGGCCCACCAAGGCGACGAUCCGUAGCUGGUCUGAGAGGAUGAUCAGCCACACUGGAACUGAGACACGGUCCAGACUCCUACGGGAGGCAGCAGUGGGGAAUAUUGGACAAUGGGCGCAAGCCUGAUCCAGCCAUACCGCGUGGGUGAAGAAGGCCUUCGGGUUGUAAAGCCCUUUUGUUGGGAAAGAAAAGCAGCAGGUUAAUACCCCGCUGUUCUGACGGUACCCAAAGAAUAAGCACCGGCUAACUUCGUG